GACGAACGCUGGCGGCGUGCUUAACACAUGCAAGUCGAACGGAAAGGCCCCUUUGGGGGUACUCGAGUGGCGAACGGGUGAGUAACACGUGAGUAACCUGCCCUUGACUUCGGGAUAACUUCAGGAAACUGGGGCUAAUACCGGAUAGGAAUCCUUGCUGCAUGGUGGGGGUUGGAAAGCUUCGGCGGUUUUGGAUGGACUCGCGGCUUAUCAGCUUGUUGGUGGGGUAGUGGCUUACCAAGGCUUUGACGGGUAGCCGGCCUGAGAGGGCGACCGGCCACAUUGGGACUGAGAUACGGCCCAGACUCCUACGGGAGGCAGCAGUGGGGAAUAUUGCACAAUGGGCGGAAGCCUGAGGCAGCAACGCCGCGUGCGGGAUGACGGCCUUCGGGUUGUAAACCGCUUUCAGCAGGGGCGAAGCUUGUGGUGACGGUACCUGCAGAAGAAGCACCGGCUAACUACGUG
rnacentral:rRNA from 1 species